rnacentral:rRNA from 1 species
UUAACAUUGAAAGCUAUCCUACAAUGCUUUCCGCCAGAGAACUACAAGUGAAAAACUUUAAACUCAAAGGACUUGACGGUGUCCCAUAUCGACCUAGAGGAGCCUGUCCUAUAAUCGAUGCUCCCCGUUCCACCCGACCCCAGCUAGCAAUAAAAUCAGCCUAUAUACCGCCGUCGACAGUCUACCCUAUGAAGGCCCAACAGUAGAUACAACAGUCCCCCACUAAUACGACAGGUCAAGGUGUAGCAAAUGCCGGGGAAGAGAUUGGCUACAUUUUUUAUGAUAAAAAAUACGGAAUGCACUAUGAAACACUGCAUGAAGGCGAAUUUAGUAGUAAAAUAAAUAAGAGUAUUUAUUUUAACAAC